AACCGCCGGAUGCGGAAAACCGCACGUCCGGUGGUGUGGGAGAGGUAACGGACACAAUCCGUUGCCCCGACCCGAU
rnacentral:misc_RNA from 1 species